rnacentral:lncRNA from 1 species
AUCUGAGCUUGGUUUGUUCCCCCAGAGCUCACCCACUGGAAGCUUGGUCCCAGUGUGGAAGCAAGGUCAGGGUGGUGAUACCUUUAACAAAUGGGGCCGGGGGGUGGUUAUUAGGCCCUCAGGAGACCCACUCUCAGGAAUGGAUAAUGCUUUGCUCAGAGUGCUGACUGGGUCUUGCAGAAGUGAGUUUGUUUCCGGGAAGGGGUUGUACAGAGAGUGAGCCUGGUCUCUCUGCCUCUCAUGUCCUGUCUUGCCAAGCAUAUGAGACAUUUACUGGAACGGAUCAGAUGUCAGAGGCAGGCACUUGAAUCUCCAGAAUGCCCGUUUCUCCCCAGGAUGGAAAUAAACAAACAGAGGGGAGCAGAUUGAGAGCAAAUCUAAUUAUGAGUGCCACGCUGAUCCCCAAGGAACCCACCUGCUCCUCAGAAGGAUGAACCACAUGGUUAUGUUAUCUUAUAAGACCAGUCCUCUUCCUUCCAUAAAGAAAUGGCACCCUCCAUGGCUCCAUUUUGUUCCCCCAAAUCUGGCAUCCAUUUGUAAUUUCCUAGAUGGAGCUCAUCGUACAGCAUAUCCAUCCAUUCAACAAACGCUUUACCGAAUGCUUCAGGCCCUGUUGCAGACAUUGGAAAUGCAAUAGUGCAAAAGCAACAGGAGGAUGUGCACUGUUGUUCUCAACCAACACUGCAACUGCAGAACUAUUCCGGUCUUCGAAUGAUUAUAUACAGGAAAACUGAAUUGGUGAUUUUGUUGGCAUAUGCACAGGCAGAAUGACCGCUAUGACUGGACAGCUUUCUGGUUUCACUACUCAAGUCAAAGACGUUGCUUUUGAAUGUAAAUCUACACACCAUGUCAUCCAUAGAGAAACGCUAGCUAGCCAAAAAAUGUCAUCUAAACUUAAUAGCAUUUGAAGAAGUGAUUAAAAUUCUCAACUGCAUGGAAGUCCAUGCCCUUACCUCAUGUCUGUUUACACAGCUCUGUGAGGAGAUGGGCACAGAGCACACACAUGUUCUCUUGUUCACCCAAGUGAGACGGCUUUCUAAAGGAAGAUCAAUGACUAGAGUUUUUGAGUUACAAGAGCCACUCUAGACAUUUGUUUUAGAAAAUCGUCACCCCUGGCAGCAUAUUUCAGUGACACAGAAUCAGUUGGAAAAAUUGCUUACUUAUGUGACAUAUUCAACCUGCUCAAGAACUUAAUCUGUCACUUCUGGGAGAACAACAACUGUGCUCGAGUCGGCAGAUAAAGUGGCUGCACUCAGAGCCAAACUGGGAUUAUGGGAGCAGUGAGUGAACAUCGGGAUGUUUGACAUGGUUCAAAUGUUAGCAAGAUUUUGAAAGAGACUGAGGCAGGACCUUCUUCCUUGCAUCUGUCUCAGCUUUCAAAAGAGUCUGAGCACCAUGACCCCAUGACCAAAGAGCCCCAAACCAGGAAGGCAUGGAUCCACGGCUCAUUUGUAAAUACACGGACUUUUCUGUGCUAGGAGAGGAUCAGCUGCUUGAGAACACAAGUGACAGUGGUCUUAAAAGUAUGUUUCAGGGGGCCGGGGAUUUAGCUCAGUGGUUCUGCCGCCUGCCUUGCAAGCGCAAGGUCCUGAGUUCCAUCCCCAGUACCAAAAAAAAAAAAAAGUGUGCUUGAGACAAAUUGAAAUCUCCGUAUGUUCUUGAUUAAAGACAAAGUGGGAUAGUCUGAGAUUGCCACAAAAGCACUGAAAAUCCACCUUCCAUUUACAGCAUCUUUGUUAAGCAGGGUUAUUCACAGCAACAACAGCCAUGGAAUAGACUGAGCAUAAGUGACGUGAAACAGAUCUCACUGUCUUGCAUCAGCCCCAGAUGAGACUGCCAAGUUGCAAGAAAACAAGCUCAGAGUUCCUGUCUUAGUUACUUUUCUCGUUGCUGAGAUAAAACACUCGACAUCAGAAGUUAAAGGAAGAAAGCUUAUUUUGGCUCAUAGUUUUAGAGGUUUCAGUCCACAGUCAGCUGGCUCCAAGCCAGGGUGGCACAGCAGAGGGGCAUCACAGAGAAGAAAUAGUCCAUGGCAAAGAAGGCAGAAGGCAGCAGAAGCAGCCAAGCAGCUAGCAGCAAGCAACAAGCAAGGACUCUCUUCCUGUCUCUUAUGUCUUAUCCAAGCUACCCACCCUUAGAGCAGGCACCUCUCACACCCUUAAUCCUACCAUUGCAUCCUUGAUCCCAGAAUCACACACCCUAAGUUGAGCCACCUCCAAAAAGCCCCACUUAUGACUGCAUGAGGCCUUGGGGGGACAUCUAGAUACAAGCCAUAGCAGUUCCCAUUGAUUCCACAUAUGGUGACUUGCAUAAUUAUUUCAUUAUGUAUUACAAUGUAAUAAUAAUAAAAAUAAAGCUCACAAUAAAUAUAAUGUGCCUGAAUCAUCCCCAAACCACCCCCUACCUGACUCUCAUCCACAGAAAAAACUGUCUUCCACAAAACUAGUCUCCCUGGUGCAGAUUAAGUUCCUGCUUUAAUCUUGUCUAAGAACUCACCACAUUGGGUAGAGUCCACUUAAAUGAAAAAGUUCUUUUUCUGUCCUAUUUCAGUUACGUGUGUGUGUGUCUGUGUGUG